rnacentral:hammerhead_ribozyme from 1 species
AUCCAACUGAUGAGUCCAAAUUGGAACGAAAUGCGCAUCCUGCAC